GUACCAUAACCGACACAGGUGGGUAGGUAGAGUAUACUAAGGGGCGCGAGAUAACUCUCUCUAAGGAACUCGGCAAAAUGACUCCGUAACUUCGGGAGAAGGAGUGCCUUAUUUAUAAGGUUGCAAUAACAAGAUCCAAGCAACUGUUUAUCAAAAACACAGGUCUCCGCUAAGUCGUAAGACGAUGUAUGGGGGCUGACGCCUGCCCAGUGCCAGAAGGUUAAAGAAGUUGGUUAGUGUAUGCGAAGCUGAUGACUGAAGCCCUGGUGAACGGCGGCCGUAACGAUAACGGUCCUAAGGUAGCGAAAUUCCUUGUCGGGUAAGUUCCGACCCGCACGAAAGGCGUAAUGAUUUGGAUACUGUCUCGGAGAGAGGCUCGGUGAAAUAGACUUGUCUGUGAAGAUGCGGACUACCUGCACCAGGACAGAAAGACCCUAUGAAGCUUUACUGUAACUUGAAAUUGGAAUUGGACUUUGCUUGCGCAGUAUAGGUGGGAAGCGUUGAAGAUAUUCUUGCGGGAGUAUUGGAGCUAUCAGUGAGAUACCACUCUUGUAAUGUUAGAUUUCUAACUUUGAACCAUAAUCUGGUCAAAGAACAGUUUCAGGUGGGCAGUUUGACUGGGGCGGUCGCCUCCCAAAUGGUAACGGAGGCGUACAAAGGUUUCCUCUGAACGGAUAGAAAUCGUAUCUAGAGUGUAAAGGCAUAAGGAAGCUUGACUGUGAGACCUACAAGUCGAGCAGGGACGAAAGUCGGUCUUAGUGAUCUGACGGUACUGAGUGGAAAGGCCGUCACUCAACGGAUAAAAGUUACUCUAAGGAUAACAGGCUGAUCUCCCCCAAGAGUUCACAUCGACGGGGAGGUUUGGCACCUCGAUGUCGGCUCAUCGCAUCCUGGGGCGGUAGUACGUCCCAAGGGUUGGGCUGUUCGCCCAUGAAAGCGGUACGCGAGCUGGGUUCAGAACGUCGUGAGACAGUUCGGUCCAUAUCCGGUGUAGGCGUUAGAAUAUUGAGAGGAGCCUUCUUUAGUACGAGAGGACCGAGAAGGACACACCGCUGGUGUACCAGUUAUCGUGCCAACGGUAAACGCUGGGUAGCUAUGUGUGGAGUGGAUAACCGCUGAAAGCAUCUAAGUGGGAAGCCCACCUCAAGAUGAGUAUUCUCAUCACUAUAAGUGAGUAAGGUCACGGUAAGACUAACCGUUUGAUAGGCAUUAAGUGUAAAUGUAGUAAUGCAUGUGCUGAGAUGUCCUAACAGACCGAGGACUUC
rnacentral:rRNA from 1 species